rnacentral:rRNA from 1 species
UACGGGGGGGCAAGCGUUGUCCGGAAUCAUUGGGCGUAAAGCGCGUGUAGGCGGCUCGAUAAGUCUGCUGUGAAAGUCCAGGGCUCAACCCUGGGAUGCCGGUGGAUACUGUCGAGCUAGAGUCCGGAAGAGGCGAGUGGAACUCCUGGUGUAGUGGUGAAAUGCGUAGAGAUCCGGAGGAACCCCAGAGGCGAAGGCGGCGUCCUGGCUCGCAUCGUGACGCUCAGACACGACAGCAUGGGGAGCGAACGGG